GGCUUUAAAGUUACGAUUGCAAACAAAAGAAUUAGCGCACGUAAUGAAGAUUUAUAAAUUUUGUCAAGUUAGGAAGUUUUCAAGUUGUUAUAAACUUUAUUUUGUGCAAGGAAUCAAUCAAAAUAAUUUAAGUAGGAGGUAUGGAAACACGAGUAAGAUAUGAUGAGACAUGGAAUUCAUACUCUCCAUCUUCCAUUUCUAAAAGAAGGGAAGAAAGGACAGUCAUGGAAGAGCUUAAUGUAAAAUUAUGCACAAGCCUGUUAUCGAUGCUCUCUGGCAUUAAUCAAUGGAACCGGAACGAAGGAUAACUGCUUUGCAGAAGAAAAUAGGGAAAAAUCCUUAAAAACAGGAGGAAAAACUGCUUUGUACGUUCAAAAUAUCCAGAAGAAAAUAGGAAAAAAAAUCCUUAAAAACAGGAGGAAAAACUGCUUUGUACGUUGAAAAUAUCCAGAAGAAAAUAGGAAAAAAAAUCCUUAAAAACAGGAGGAAAAACUGCUUUGUACGUUGAAAAUAUCCAGAAGAAAAUAGGAAAAAAAAUCCUUAAAAACAGGAGGAAAAACUGCUUUGUACGUUGAAAAUAUCCAGAAGAAAAUAGGAAAAAAAAUCCUUAAAAACAGGAGGAAAAACUGCUUUGUACGUUGAAAAUAUCCAGAAGAAAAUAGGAAAAAAAAUCCUUAAAAACAGGAGGAAAAACUGCUUUGUACGUUGAAAAUAUCCAGAAGA